CCCUUAGAUGUUCUGGGCCGCACGCGCGCUACACUGAUGCAUUCAACGAGCACCCGCUGGGCCGAGAGGUCCGGCUAAUCUUUGAACGUGCAUCGUGCUGGGGAUAGAUGAUUGCAAUUAUUCAUCUUCAACGAGGAAUUCCUAGUAAACGCAAGUCAUCAGCUUGCAUUGAUUACGUCCCUGCCCUUUGUACACACCGCCCGUCGCACCUGCCGAUUGAAUGGUCCGGUGAAAUUCUCGGACGCGGACUAGCGAUGUUAAUUCGGAGCUUGACUGUGAAAGUUAAUUAAACCUUACCAUUUAGAGGAAGGUGAAGUCGUAACA
rnacentral:rRNA from 1 species